rnacentral:lncRNA from 1 species
CAGAGAAACAGUAGAAAAAAGGAAGAAAGAUGAAAAAGAAGUUGGGUUGAAUAAGGACUUAGAAUCGAACAAAAACAGCUCAAAAAUUCAAAUGAGAACAGAUCUGUGACUGUGUCAAAUUCAAGAUCUACAGUGAGAAAACCUCCACAGCACACAAGAAAACAACUGCCACAAAACCCAAAUGCUUAUGAAUGAUCUCGUCUAGAAGGCCCUUUCUUCUUGGUGUAGCAUUUUUUAUGAUGUGUUUCAAAGUACUCGUCCAAGCAUUUGGGUUUUGUGGCAGUUGUUUUCUUGUGUGUUGUGCAGGUUUUCUCACUGUAGAUCUGGAAUCUGACACAGUCACAGAUCUGUUCUCAUUUGAAUUUUUGAGCUGUUUUUGUUCGAUUCUAAGUCCUUAUUCAAC